UCCUGGCUUAGGAUGAACGCUAGCUACAGGCUAACACAUGCAAGUCGAGGGGCAGCAUGUUGGUGCUGCAACCGAUGAUGGCGACCGGCGCACGGGUGAGUAACGCGUAUCCAACCUUCCCCUUAGUAGGGCAUAGCCCGUAGAAAUGCGGAUUAAUACCCUAUGUUCUUCGAAGCGGUCAUCCAAUUUGAAGCAAAGAUUCAUCGCUAAGGGAUGGGGAUGCGUCCGAUUAGGUUGUUGGCGGGGUAACGGCCCACCAAGCCAUCGAUCGGUAGGGGUUCUGAGAGGAAGGUCCCCCACAUUGGAACUGAGACACGGUCCAAACUCCUACGGGAGGCAGCAGUGAGGAAUAUUGGUCAAUGGGCGAGAGCCUGAACCAGCCAAGUAAGCGUGCAGGAUGACGGCCCUAUGGGUUGUAAACUGCUUUUAUCAGGGGAUAAAGUGACCCACGUGUGGGUUUUUGUAGGUACCUGAUGAAUAAGGACCGGCUAAUUCCGUGCCAGCCGCCGC
rnacentral:rRNA from 1 species